rnacentral:rRNA from 1 species
UACGGAGGAUGCGAGCGUUAUCCGGAUUUACUGGGUGUAAAGGGAGCGUAGGCGGCGCGUUAAGUCUGAUGUGAAAACCCGAGGCUCAACCACGGGAGUGCAUUGGAAACUGGCGAGCUGGAGUGCCGGAGAGGUAAGCGGAAUUCCUAGUGUAGCGGUGAAAUGCGUAGAUAUCACGCAGAACCCCGAUUGCGAAGGCAGCAUACCGGCGCUCAACUGACGCUGAGGCACGAAAGUGCGGGUAUCGAACAGG